rnacentral:rRNA from 1 species
CCAGACUCCUACGGGAGGCAGCAGUGAGGAAUAUUGGUCAAUGGGCUUACGCCUGAACCAGCCAAGUCGCGUGAGGGAAGACUGCCCUAUGGGUUGUAAACCUCUUUUGUCAGGGAGCAAUUGGCGCUACGUGUAGCGUUAUCGAGAGUACCUGAAGAAAAAGCAUCGGCUAACUCCGUGCCAGCAGCCGCGGUAAUACGGAGGAUGCGAGCGUUAUCCGGAUUUAUUGGGUUUAAAGGGUGCGCAGGCGGAAGCGCAAGUCAGCGGUAAAAUUGAGAGGCUCAACCGCUGCCCGCAGUUGAAACUGCGUUUCUUGAGUGGGCGAGAAGUACGCGGAAUGCGUGGUGUAGCGGUGAAAUGCAUAGAUAUCACGCAGAACUCCGAUUGCGGAGGCAGCGUACCGGCGCCCAACUGACGCUCAUGCACGAAAGCGUGGGUAUCGAACAGGAUUAGAUACCCUUGUAC